rnacentral:rRNA from 1 species
UAUGUGAUCGUCUCUCGCAUAUCAAUAAGCGGAGGAAAAGAAACUAACAAGGAUUCCCCUAGUAACGGCGAGUGAAGCGGGAAGAGCUCAAAUUUGAAAUCUUAAAGGGUUUCCCUUUACGAAUUGUAGUUUGAAGAAGUGUUUUCUGUUGAGGUUUUGGUAAAAGUUCUUUGGAAUAGGACAUCAUAGAGGGUGAGAAUCCCGUAUUUGACCUUUACUUUCAACUUUGUGAUACACUUUCAAAGAGUCGGAUUGUUUGGGAAUGCAGUCCAAAAUGGGUGGUAAAUUUCAUCUAAAGCUAAAUAUUGGCGAGAGACCGAUAGCGAACAAGUACCGUGAGGGAAAGAUGAAAAGAACUUUGAAAAGAGAGUUAAACAGUACGUGAAAUUGUCAAAAGGGAAGCGUUUGACACCAGUGUUGUUUUUCUGAAAAUCAAUUAAAGAACUGUUUAUGCUAAGCUGUUUAGACUUUAUCAGCUAUCUGUUUAGUUUUGAGCUUUUCUUUAAUGCACUUUUCAGUUAACAAGUCAACAUCAAUUUCUUUUGCUGUAAAAAAGCUUGAGGAAGGUGGCUUGAGAUUCGUCUUAAGUGUUUAUAGCCUCUUGCCUAUGCAGUCGGAGAGAUUGAGGUCUGCAGCGUAGAUCCUUCGGGGCUAAAUGCAUUUGUGCUAAGUUAUAGCAUUUUAUAGACAACUUGUUGACUAUGAUUUGUCUUGUAGCUUACUCGCUUAUGUUAUUUUACCUACGCUUAGGAUGUUGAGCGCAUGUCUCUCUCU